UAUUGCUUAAUUUGGCUCAGGAGCCUCUCCCCACGCUGGGUUUCUGUGAUCUAAAGUUUUACUAUACAAAGACAUGUCAGAGGGUGUGAGUAAUCAAAGGCAGACACUGGCACGUGAAAAACAUCCUCUGCAUCUCUGAAGGCAGACUUCCGAAAGUGACCGUCAAGUUGCAUGGGGUGGCCCACAGUUUUAGUUCCACCCCUCAGGAGGCAGAGGCAGGCAGAUGUCUUUGAGUUCAAGGCAUGCCAGGGCUACAAAGUGAGACCUUGUCUCAAAACAACAACAACAACAAAAAACAAAACAAAACAAAAAAACACCAAAGCAAAACAACAAAAAAGCGUCCUUUGACAUCAAUAUAAAAAUCAGUGGGACGCAGAAAGGAACAGCUGUGUAAGUGCCCAAGGCCAGGCAGCAGGAGGGGGUUCUGGGGUAGUGUUGAGGUGGCAUCUUCCCAUGAAGCCACACUACUGCAUACAUUCUACUGCAUACGUCCUGUGCUAUUUAUUUAUUAUUGUUUGUUUGUUUGUUUCUGGGGAUUGAAGCCAUUGACUUUGUGACGCUAGGCAAGCACUCUGCCGGUGAGAUAAACCCCAGCCCCCCUCAGCGACUAUUUUCAUUUGCUAAUAACUCUGAGCCUGUGUUGGAAUACUGCUAUCAGGCCCUUCUUCCCAGCUUACAAACGGCUACCGUUUUCCUGCGUUUCAUCAUCCAGCAACACCGCCUACUUUCCUUAAAGCCUGGGCCAAAAACAAGUCCCUGAACCCUGAACCUAACUAACCAAGGUCCUUCCUUCAACCUGCCUGAAGCAUGGCUCAACCAGCUACAGAGUCAGAUUUAAGGGCCGGGGCUGGCUCUAGAGUUCUUCCCCAGGGGGAGCAGCUAGUCUCCAAGGAAGAGGAACGGUAACCCUGGCAAAGCUCUUCCAAGAUUAUCUGAGUAGCCUCUAAGGAACUAACCAAUAAGAACCUCUGCAGCCCUUAGAUGACCUUAAAAAACAAAACAAAACAAAAAAACCACAAUGUAAACAGCAGGUACAUAGAAGUCCUAAUGGUAAACGAGACUGGAACAAGAAUGGAAAGGUGAUAAAUUCUGUAUAUUCCUAGACCGAAAGAUUGAACCAAUCCCAACACCCUUUUCUUCUUUAUGUAACGAGACACACCUUUCCUGCCCUGCACUCCCUGCAUUGGACUCGUUUAUUCUUUCAUCUGCCCAGGAGGUAUUUAAUUUGUGCUACUAUGUGCCAGGCACUGUCCUGGGGACUGGAGAAACAAAGAUAAGCAGUGUGCGGCCCUCUCAGUGUCUGCAGGGCCACCUUGGCGAGCCACAGCUAGUCUAUGACAAUUGGAUCACCUUGUCCUUCACGGCAGACAAGGUCUCUUAUCAGCCUGGAGCUUUCAGCAUACAAGACUGGUUGGAUGGAACUAGAAAAUAUCAUCCUGAGUGAGGUAACCCAGUCUCAGAAGGACAAACAUGAACUUUUCUAGAAUGACUGAUGGAAGCAGAUGCAGAGAUCCACAGCCAAUCACCAUACAGAGCUCCAGGAGUCCAGUUAAAGAGAGAGAAGAGGGAUUCUAUGAGCAAGUGCAUCAGGAUCAUGAUGGGGAAACAUGCAGAGACAACCAAACCAAACUAGAGGGAACUCAUGAAAGUUGGAUCAAUGGCCGUGGAUCCUACAUGGGACAGAACUAGGCCCUCUGCAUGUAAACCACCGAAUUGGUAUCUCCAGAACUUCCGGCCAUUUAAAAUACUCGAGGAAGCAGUCCACUCUGGUUAAGAGUCAGCAACACAAUAAACAGAGGGGUUAGAUGUCCCAAAGCGUGGAUAACUGGAUGAUCUGAUAAAGACAGCAGGCAGGGUGUCACUAGUCCAGACUGGCCUGCAACAGGCCAUCCCCCUGCUCCAGCACCCUUGAGGAUGGAACUGCAGUCCUGAACCACCGUGCUUGGGCCGAAGGAGAACUACAUUUUCCUGAGCACUGAGGGCCCUGGGAGGAACGUCCUGAAGUUCAAGCCUCCAACGUGCUUCCGCCUGGACAACGCACAGCAUGUAGCAAAGCUGGAUGGCAUUCUAACAGGACCAAAGAAAAUAUGCCAGAAGCCUGUACCAUUUCCAGAGGGAGAAGCAGAAGAAUCUGAAGUUCAAGGUUAUCCUCAUUUACACAGUGAACUGAAUGCCAAUGUAGUAUAUAUGAUGUAAGGAUUAUGUCCUUAAUUAUGUCACCAGCCUGUGACAGUGUCCCAGCCUAAAAAGUGGGCGUGCCCUCUCUGUGCCCUCUUUUUCCUCACUCUCUCCUUCCAUAUUCUCUCCCCUCUGCGCUCGCUCUCUCUCUCUCUCUCUCUCUCUCUCUCUCUCUCUCUCUCUCUCUCUCUCUCUCUCUCUCUCCCCCCCUUUCUUUCCCAAUAAAGCUCUAGAAAGGUAACCAUGGCUCAUGAUUCUUCCGCCAUCGCAACAUCCAGGGCUCUCUUCCGUUGGCAUGGCCGCUGCAGGCGGCAGCCAACCAUGAGAGCUGCCACUUAACCAACAUAUGAGGCUCUGUCUCAAAAAACAAACAAACAAACAAACAAACAAAAAACAAAAACCUAAAAAAACCUAUUUUUAAAUUAAAAGUUGGCAGGAAGGUCUCAUCAAUAAUAUGUUUAAGCAGAGAUGUGGAGGAAAAGAAUAAAAAGAACAUUCAGAGUCCUUGAAGAAAAGUAGUUUAGGUCUAAUUCACACAAGUGUGAAGCCUAAGAUGAGAACAUAAUUGGUGUAGAAGAACAGGAAGUUUUCAAUGAAGAGCCAGUUCGAGCCCCACAAAGAACUCUGACUUUCAUUUGAAUCAGAAGUGAUGUGAUCUUUUAUAACAAUUACUCUGAUUGCUGUGAAAGAACAGACUAUAGAGGGACAGGAAUUUAAACAAGAACAGUUAGAUUACUGAAAUAAUGUAGAUGAAAGAAAAUGGUGGCUUAAACAGAAAUGGAUGUGAUGGAGGUAGAGGUCACUGCUUAAAAUGUAGAGGAUGUGUUAGCAAGACGGCUCAGCAGUAAAGGCACUGAGUUCAACCCCUGGAACACACAUGCUAAAAACAAAGAACUGACUCUGGUAAGUUGUCCUCUGAUGUGUACAUAUGUACACGUACAGAGAGAGAGAGAGAGAGAGAGAGAGAGAGAGAGAGAGAGAGAGAGAGAGAGAGAGAGAGAGAGGGAAGGAGGGAGGGAAGGAGGGAGAGAGAGAGUAUAAAUGAAUGAAUAAAGUUGAAAGUAGAGAAGGCAUAAUUUACUAAUGGAUUAAAGUCAGACAUGACCACAAUUUACUGGUAAGGAAAACUAGAUAAAAAGCAGAGUUGUUGAGGAAUUGAGGAGAAAGAUCUAGAGUUUGGUUUGGGAUGUGCUCUGUCUGAGACACCUGUUUACUUCCUAAUAAUGAUACUGAGUAGAUGUGGAGUGGUAUUUGUGGAAGAUGUCUGGACUUGAGCUGUAAGUCCCAGAAUGAUUAUAAAAUCCAUGUAGAUAUGAACAGAGAGAAAGUGGCAAGGUUGAGCCUUAGGGUGUUACAAAGUUGUAGAGAUAAAGAAAGAUAGGCAAGCAUAAUUUGAAAUCAAUGACAAAAGAAAAUUAUAAUGAGAAAGAGCCCAGAGAGUUUUUAUGGAAGCCAAGUGAAGAGAAUGUCUCAAAAAGAAUAGAGGCAUAAAGGCAUCCAAUCAAAGAGAAGUAAUGAGAGUCUAGAAACAACGCCUACUCUCAUGCCCAGUUCAUGUCUGAUAAAUGUGCUAAGGCUGUUUUAGAGGAAACAAGUAGUUUAAUACAUUAUGCUGGACAAUGCAUAAGAGUGAGGUUGAACUAUUCCCUGUACCAUCCACACACAACUACAAAUGGAUCACAGAUCUAAAUACACCAGCUAUAAAACUAUAAAACUCUCAAAAAAACAAAGGAUUGGGGGCUGAGGAAAUGGCUCAGUCAAGUGUCUGCUGUGCAAGCAUGAUGACCUGAGUUCAGAUCCCCAGCAUAUAUGAAAAAAGCAGGGCAUGCUGGGGAUCGGAAUGCACGCCUUGAUCCCAGCACUUGGAAGGCAGAGGCAGGCAGAUCUCUGUGAAUUAAAGGCCAGCCUGAUCUAUAGAAGAGCUAGUUCCAGGACAGCCAAGGCUACACAAAGAAACCCUAUUUCAAAAAAUAACAAACAACAAACAAACAAACAAACAAACAAACAAAGCAGGACAUGGUAGCACAUGUCUGUAACCUUAGUGUCGGUGGGAUGGGGUGGAGACAGGCUGAUCCUUAGAGUUCACUGGCCAGAUAAUCCAGCUAAUCAAUGAGCUCCAAGCUCAGAGAGACCCAGCCUCAAAACAUAAGGUCGAAAGCAAUAGAGCAGUAUUCCUUAACCUUCCUACUGCUGUGACCCUUUAACACAGUUCCUCAUGCUGUGGUGACCUUCAACCAUAAAAUUAUUUUGUUGCUACUUCAUAAGUGUAAUUUUGCUACUGUUAUGAAUAGUAAUGUAAAUAUCUGAUAUGCAGGAUAUCUGACAUGCAACCUUCACAGGUUGAGAACUGCUGCAAUAGAGGAAGAUACCCGAUCAACCUGUGGCCUCCUGUAAGCUCUGUAACAAGCACACAGAAGCACACAGUCACAUAUAACACACACACACACACACACACACACACACACAUACACACAGAGAGAGAGAGUAUUAAAUCUUUGUAAUUUUGUAUUAAACCAUAGUUUCUUAGUUAUAAUAAAAAAUCAUGAUCAAAACAAAAAAUGUUGAUAAACUGAAUUUUAUCAAAAUUCAAGACCUUUGUGUGCUACUUCACAUCAAUUAUGAUGGCUCUUAUUAAAUAAGAAAACAAGCAUUAGAGAUCCUGUGGAGAAACUAGAAUCCCUAUGCACUGUUGGUGGGGACACAAAAUUGUGCACUUUACCAACUGCGCCAUCUCUCCAACCCCUCAUCCUUUGGGAUAUUUUUCUAAAUAUUUUAUAGGUUUAGGCUCAUAUAGUUAGGUCAGUGGUGCAUUUGGAGUUGUUUUUGCUUGUGUGUGUGUGUGUGUGUGUGUGUGUGUGUGUGUGUGUGUGUGUGUGUGUGUAUGCAUGUGGGCUUAGUUAAAAAUAACUAUUUAGAGUUGUUUUGUGCUAGUUAGGGUUCAACCUCACACUCUUGUGCAUUAUGCAUAUCAAGUUGUCCAUCAUAAUUUAUUUUACUCUUCUGUCCUUAAAAAACAGCCUUAGGGGACUGGAUAGAUGGUUCAGUGGUUAAGAGCACUGAGUGGUCUUCCAGCUGAACCAGGUUCAAUUUCCAGCACACACAUCAGGCAGCUCACAACCUCCUGUAAGUUAAGCUCCCAGGAAUCUGGCCUUCUGGCCUACACCAGCACCAACAUGUGGCAUACACUCACACAUAUACAUGAUUUAAAAAACAAAACAACAACAACAACAACAAAACGGCCUUAGAACUUUUGUCAAAGCUGUGUUGGACAUCUCAUCUUCCACUAUGAAUCUCUACUUCACAUUUUAGUUCUGGACUUGAGGAGAGACCCUGUCUCAAAAAAUAAGGUAAAGCCAGGCAGUGGUGGAGCAGGUCUUUAAUCUAGCACUUGGGAGACAGAGGCAGGCAGAUCUUAGUUUGAGGACAGCCUAGUCUACAUAAUGAGUUCCAGGACGACCAAAAGAAACCCUGUCUUGAAAAACUAAAUAAAAUAUAAUAAUAAUAAUAAUAAUAGUAAUAAUAAUAAUAAAAUAACAAUAAUAAUAAUAAUGUAGAGAGAGUCGUAGUGGAAGAUGUCUGACACAGUAAUCCCAACCUCAAAACAUACACCCAAAAGAAAUGAAGGCAGGAACUCAACACAC